rnacentral:lncRNA from 1 species
GAUUCUCCAAUCUCCAUAUAAGUAUCUAAAGCAUUCAUUAAUUGGUGACAAUCAGACAUUUUAAUAGAAGGAUAUAAAACUGCACCAAUUAAGUAAACUGGAGGAAUUGGAAAGAAAUAUUUUUUGAAUUUCGCUUCCAUACUUACAAUAACAUCCAUAUAUUUUUCUUUCUUCUUAAAUUCAUAUAGUAGCAAAGAAAUUUCAGCUAUAUGUACUAAUGCCGUAGUAACAGUUGGG